CCAAAGGCUCUUUUCAGAGCCACUUAAUGAUUUCAGCUGGAGGCCA
rfam:Pan troglodytes isolate Yerkes chimp pedigree #C0471 (Clint) chromosome 6, whole genome shotgun sequence.